GAAGGUAUAGCUCAAAUGGUAGAGCGCAUGCUUAGCAUGCAGGAGGUCCUGGUAUCAAUCCCUAGUACCUCCU
rnacentral:tRNA from 1 species